AGCCGAAAGGUUGGCUAAUACCGCAUAAGACCUGAGGGUGAAAGCCGGGGACCGCAAGGCCUGGCGCAGACGGAGCGGCCGAUGAUUGAUUAGCUUGUUGGCGGGGUAAAGGCCCACCAAGGCGACGAUCAAUAGCUGGUCUGAGAGGACGACCAGCCACACUGGAACUGAGACACGGUCCAGACUCCUACGGGAGGCAGCAGUAGGGAAUUUUGGACAAUGGGGGCAACCCUGAUCCAGCCAUGCCGCGUGCGGGAAGAAGGCCUUCGGGUUGUAAACCGCUUUUGUCAGGGACGAAAAGGGACGGGUUAAGAGCUAGUUCCGCUGACGGUACCUGAAGAAUAAGCACCGGCUAACUACGUGCCAGCAGCCGCGGUAAUACGUAGGGUGCAAGCGUUAAUCGGAAUUACUGGGCGUAAAGCGUGCGCAGGCGGUUGGGUAAGACAGAUGUGAAAUCCCCGGGCUUAACCUGGGAACUGCAUUUGUGACUGUCCGACUGGAGUACGUCAGAGGGGGGUGGAAUUCCGCGUGUAGCAGUGAAAUGCGUAGAUAUGCGGAAGAACACCGAUGGCGAAGGCAGCCCCCUGGGACGCAACUGACGCUCAUGCACGAAAGCGUGGGGAGCAAACAGGAUUAGAUACCCUGGUAGUCCACGCCCUAAACGAUGUCUGCCGGUUGUUGGGGAUUUCUAUCUUCAGUAACGAAGCUAACGCGUGAAGCAGACCGCCUGGGGAGUACGGUCGCAAGAUUAAAACUCAAAGGAAUUGACGGGGACCCGCACAAGCGGUGGAUGAUGUGGAUUAAUUCGAUGCAACGCGAAAAACCUUACCUAGCCUUGACAUGUCAGGAAUGCUUCGUAAAUGAGGCAGUGCCCGCAAGGGAACCUGAGCACAGGUGCUGCAUGGCUGUCGUCAGCUCGUGUCGUGAGAUGUU
rnacentral:rRNA from 1 species